rnacentral:rRNA from 1 species
UACGGGGGGGGCAAGCGUUGUUCGGAAUUACUGGGCGUAAAGGGCCUCGUAGGCGGCCAACUAAGUCGGACGUGAAAUCCCUCAGCUUAACUGGGGAACUGCGUCCGAUACUGGAUGGCUUGGAUUUGGGAGAGGGAUGCAGAAUUCCAGGUGUAGCGGUGAAAUGCGUAGAUAUCUGGAGGAAUACCGGUGGCGAAGGCGGCAUCCUGGACCGGCAUUGACGCUGAGGAGCGAAAGCCAGGGGAGCAAACGGG